rnacentral:rRNA from 1 species
GAUGAACGCUGGCGGCGUGCCUAAUACAUGCAAGUCGAACGAACAGAUGAUGAUCUUGCUCCUCUGACGUUAGCCGCGGACGUGUGAGUAACACGUGUAUAACCUACCUAUAAGACUGGGAUAACUUCGGGAAACCGGAUCUAAUACCGUAGAAUAUAUUGAACCACAUGGUGCAAUGGUGAAAUACGGUUGUUCUGUCACUUAUCGAUGGAUCUGCGCCGUAUUGGCUGGUUGUUAAGGUAACAGCUUACCAAGGCAACGAUGCGUAGCCGACGUGAGAGGCUGGUAGCCGACCUUGGAGCGGAGACACGGUCAAUACGCCUACGGGAGGCAGCAGUAGCGAACCGUCCGCAACAGUCGAAAGCUUGACGGAGUAACGCGGAGUGAGUGACGACAGUCUUGCGAUCGUAAAGAUCUGUUAUUAGGGAAGAACAAAUGUGUCAGUAAAUAUGCACGUAUUGACGGUAAUUAAUAAGAAAGCAACGGCUAACUACGUG